rnacentral:rRNA from 1 species
AGUGAACGCUGGCGGUAGGCCUAACACAUGCAAGUCGAACGGCAGCACAGUAAGAGCUUGCUCUUACGGGUGGCGAGUGGCGGACGGGUGAGGAAUACAUCGGAAUCUACUUUUUCGUGGGGGAUAACGUAGGGAAACUUACGCUAAUACCGCAUACGACCUACGGGUGAAAGCAGGGGAUCUUCGGACCUUGCGCGAUUGAAUGAGCCGAUGUCGGAUUAGCUAGUUGGCGGGGUAAAGGCCCACCAAGGCGACGAUCCGUAGCUGGUCUGAGAGGAUGGUCAGCCACACAGGAACUGAGACACGGUCCAGACUCCGACGGGAGGCAGCAGUGGGGAAUAUUGGACAAUGGGCGCAAGCCUGAUCCAGCCAUACCGCGUGGGUGAAGAAGGCCUUCGGGUUGUAAAGCCCUUUUGUUGGGAAAGAAAAGCAGCAGGUUAAUACCCCGCUGUUCUGACGGAACCCAAAGAAUAAACACCGGCUAACUUCGU